AUAAGGACACGUGGGAACUUAGAAGAUUAGAACGAAAACGAGGCCUAAUUUUUUAUUUUUUUUUGGUGUAGGUAUGUAUAGUGGCAUCAAUGUUGUUUGAAGACGAAGACAGAGAGGGCAACGCUAACCGUGUCGAAAAGCAUAGCAACGUUGAGCACUUAUCCAACAUAUCAUUGUCAUAGGAACAAAUCAAACUAUGCAAAAUCCGAAUUGUUUCAUCUUCUUCAGACAAUCUAGGACAACAUGUCUGUCACCUUCGAAUUUGGACCUUUCUUGCGGUAGCAGUGUUGGUGUCUCUGCGACUUUGUCCGAGACCACCCACAAUAACGUAAUCGCGGACAAAAAUACAAAGAUUUGCAAGUUCUGCGAAAUGGGUGAUCUAAGAAACGCCAUGGAAUUGCUCUCAUGGUGUUAGGGACAAAGGCUAAGCUACACUAUGCUAACUACACUAACAUAUAUUUGAUAAUUCUUCUCUGCCUUCUUCUCAUUCAUUGCUUGAUGUUUAUAGGCUUACAUUGCUAUUGGUACUUAACAAACUAUAACAAUUCUGUUGUAACAGAAUUGAGGGAGCACUAUGGCUGUCCCCUAACAGAAUGGUGAGCACAAAUGCUGUCCCCUCUUAUGCAUAGUCAUUCAGCUCUGUACUCAGCGUAAGUCUUUGGAAGAUGGAAAGAGGGUUCAUUCCAUUAUCACUUCCGAUGGCAUGGCAAUUGAUGAGGUUUUGGGGGCAAAACUAGUCUUUAUGUAUGUGAAUUGUGGUGAUUUGAUUAAAGGGAGACGAAUAUUUGAUGGGAUCCUCAAUGAUAAGGUUUUCCUCUGGAAUCUUUUGAUGUCUGAAUAUGCAAAGAUUGGUAAUUACAGGGAAACUGUGGGUCUUUUUGAGAAAUUGCAGAAGUUGGGAGUUAGAGGGGAUUCUUAUACAUUUACUUGUAUCUUGAAGUGUUUUGCUGCAUUGGCAAAGGUGAUGGAGUGUAAAAGGGUUCAUGGGUAUGUUUUAAAACUGGGUUUUGGUUCUUAUAAUGCUGUUGUUAACUCUCUAAUUGCAGCUUAUUUUAAAUGUGGUGAAGCUGAGAGUGCACGCAUUUUGUUUGAUGAAUUGAGUGACAGAGAUGUUGUUUCCUGGAAUUCCAUGAUUAGUGGGUGUGUUAUGAAUGGGUUUUCCAGAAAUGGACUUGAGUUUUCAUCCAGAUGCUAAAUUUGGGGGUCGAUGUGGAUUCGGUCACCGUGGUUAACGUUCUUGUGACUUGUGCAAAUGUUGGCAACCUUACAUUGGGUAGAAUUCUUCAUGCUUAUGGAGUGAAAGUUGGUUUUAGUGGGGAUGCCAUGUUUAACAACACCUUACUAGACAUGUAUUCUAAAUGUGGUAAAUUAAAUGGUGCAAAUGAAGUUUUUGUGAAGAUGGGUGAAACAACUAUAGUUUCUUGGACUUCAAUCAUAGCUGCUCAUGUUCGAGAAGGUCUACAUGAUGAGGCUCUUAGAUUAUUUGACAAAAUGCAAAGCAAAGGUCUUAGCCCAGAUAUUUAUGCUGUCACAAGCGUUGUUCAUGCUUGUGCUUGUAGCAACUCCUUGGAUAAAGGAAGGGAGGUACACAAUUACAUUAAAAAGAACAACAUGGGAUCAAGUUUGCCUGUCUCUAAUCUCUCAUGAAUAUGUAUGCAAAAUGUGGAAGCAUGGAAGAAGCUAAUUUAAUUUUCUCUCAACUUCAACUCAAGAGCAUUGUCUCAUGGAAUACGAUGAUUGGAGGUUAUUCACAAAACUCACUUCCCAAUGAAACUCUAGAGCUGUUUCUGGACAUGCAGAAACAAUCGAAGCCUGAUGACAUUACAAUGGCUUGUGUCCUUCCAGCUUGUGCAGGCUUAGCAGCUCUGGAGAAAGGCAGAGAGAUACAUGGGCACAUAUUGAGAAAAGGGUACUUUUCAGAUUUACAUGUAGCCUGUGCACUUGUUGAUAUGUACGUGAAAUGUGGGUUUCUUGCACAGCAACUGUUUGAUAUGAUUCCUAAUAAGGAUAUGAUUGUGGACUGUUAUGAUAGCUGGAUAUGGCAUGCAUGGGUUUGGAAAGGAAGCAAUUUCCACAUUUGAUAAGAUUAGGAUUGCAGGUAUUGAGCCUGAAGAGUCCUCCUUCACUUCCAUCCUUUAUGCUUGCACUCAUUCUGAAUUUCUGAGAGAGGGAUGGAAAUUCUUUGAUUCCACGAGAAGCGAAUGCAACAUCGAGCCCAAGUUAGAACACUAUGCGUAUAUGGUGGAUCUCCUUAUCCGCUCUGGAAAUCUAUCCAGGACGUACAAGUUCAUUGAAACAAUGCCAAUUAAACCAGAUGCUGCAAUUUGGGGUGCCUUGCUUUCUGGGUGCAGGAUACAUCAUGAUGUGGAGCUAGCAGAAAAAGUGCCAGAGCAUAUUUUUGAGCUUGAGCCAGAGAAGACAAGGUAUUAUGUUCUUCUAGCGAAUGUCUAUGCAAAGGCCAAAAAGUGGGAAGAAGUGAAAAAGUUACAAAGAAGGAUAAGUAAGUGUGGAUUGAAAAAGGAUCAAGGCUGUAGUUGGAUAGAGGUCCAAGGAAAGUUUAAUAACUUUGUUGCUGGGGAUACUUCACACCCCCAGGCCAAAAGGAUAGACUCAUUGCUGAGAAAAUUGAGAAUGAAAAUGAAUAGGGAAGGUUACUCUAAUAAGAUGAGGUAUUCAUUGAUUAGUGCAGAUGAUAGGCAGAAGUGCUUCUAUGUGGACACAGUGAGAAGUUACCCAUGGCCUUUGGAAUAUUAAAUUUGCCUCCAGGGGAGGACUGUUAGAGUAACCAAGAAUCUAAGAGUAUGUGGGGAUUGUCAUGAGAUGGGGAAGUUCAUGUCCAAGACAACCGGGAGGGAAAUUUUGUUGCGAGAUUCAAACCGGUUUCACCAUUUCAAGGAUGGUUUAUGUUCUUGCAGAGGUUUCUGGUAAAUCAUCGGAAAAAUUCAAUAGAGGGGAAGUUCUCCCAUGUCAGUGUAUCAUUCUUCUCUUCGUAAGAAUUGAUAAUUGCGUAUUUCAUAAUCACAGUUCUCUUAUUGAUGUAGGACGCAUUAUAGAUUAGGAUACAAAGUCAUGGCCAAAAAAGUGUAUGUAGAAGUGAUAGCCAUAGUGUCUGUAGAAUCAGUGAUUGAGGCUACCGUUUUUGUAGUUACGUCAGAGGCAACUUUAUGUCCUAACUUCGUCUGUGAAGUGAUGUUAUUCAUGGAUGACUUAUCUAAACAUCUAUAUUUGGAUUGGAAAAACAUUGCAGCAGAGAUCUGUAAAUGGGGUUCAGAUGUAACAUUUUUUUCUCUGAAAUAGAUUAGUGGCAUAAUGUUAUUUAUGAUUUGUGACUCUGA